UACAGAGACUGCAAGCGUUAUUCGGAUUCACUGGGCGUAAAGGGUGCGCAGGCGGUCGGGUGUGUCAGAUGUGAAAUCCCGAGGCUCAACCUCGGAACUGCGUCUGAAACUACUCGACUAGAGUACUGGAGAGGGAAACGGAAUUCGACGGUGUAGCAGUGAAAUGCGUAGAUAUCGUGAGGAACACCAGAGGCGAAGGCGGUUUCCUGGACAGUUACUGACGCUCAGGCACGAAAGCAUGGGGAGCAAAAGGG
rnacentral:rRNA from 1 species